GGUCUCUUGGCCCAGUUGGUUAAGNGCUAAUAACGCGGGGAUCAGCGGUUCGAUCCCGCUAGAGACCA
rnacentral:tRNA from 1 species